GGGGGACGGACAGGGCAGCUCACGACGCUGAGGUGGUGGCUGCGGCCUUUGAACAAGUAAGUGAGCCACCCUCGGAGACCCCCGCGCUGGGGACGGGAGGCCGGCGAGCCUCGGGACCUCUGAAAGCCUUGAGGAGGCGCGGGGACACCAUGGCCGAGCCUCUGAAGGAGGAAGACGGCGAGGACGGCUCUGCGGAGCCCCCCGGGCCCGUGAAGGCCGAACCCGCCCACACUGCUGCCUCUGUAGCGGCCAAGAACCUGGCCCUGCUUAAAGCCCGCUCCUUCGAUGUGACCUUUGACGUGGGCGACGAGUACGAGAUCAUCGAGACCAUAGGCAACGGGGCCUAUGGAGUGGUGUCCUCCGCCCGCCGCCGCCUCACCGGCCAGCAGGUGGCCAUCAAGAAGAUCCCUAAUGCUUUCGAUGUGGUGACCAAUGCCAAGCGGACCCUCAGGGAGCUGAAGAUCCUCAAGCACUUUAAGCACGACAACAUCAUCGCCAUCAAGGACAUCCUGAGGCCCACUGUGCCCUAUGGCGAAUUCAAAUCUGUCCCCUACGGGGUCCCAGGCUACGUGGUUCUGGACCUGAUGGAAAGUGACCUGCACCAGAUCAUCCACUCCUCACAGCCCCUCACACUGGAACACGUGCGCUAUUUCCUGUACCAGCUGCUGCGGGGCCUGAAGUACAUGCACUCGGCUCAGGUCAUCCACCGUGACCUCAAGCCCUCCAACCUGUUGGUGAAUGAGAACUGUGAGCUCAAGAUUGGUGACUUUGGUAUGGCUCGUGGCCUGUGCACCUCACCCGCUGAACAUCAGUACUUCAUGACCGAGUAUGUGGCCACGCGCUGGUACCGUGCGCCUGAGCUCAUGCUCUCUUUGCAUGAGUAUACACAGGCUAUUGACCUCUGGUCUGUGGGCUGCAUCUUUGGUGAGAUGCUGGCCCGGCGCCAGCUCUUCCCAGGCAAAAACUAUGUACACCAGCUACAGCUCAUCAUGAUGGUGCUGGGUACCCCAUCACCAGCCGUGAUUCAGGCCGUGGGGGCUGAGAGGGUGCGAGCCUAUAUCCAGAGCUUGCCACCACGCCAGCCUGUGCCCUGGGAGACAGUGUACCCAGGUGCCGACCGCCAGGCCCUAUCACUGCUGGGUCGCAUGCUGUGUUUUGAGCCCAGCGCCCGCAUCUCAGCAGCUGCUGCCCUUCGCCACCCUUUCCUGGCCAAGUACCAUGAUCCUGAUGAUGAGCCUGACUGUGCCCCGCCCUUUGACUUUGCCUUUGACCGCGAAGCCCUCACUCGGGAGCGCAUUAAGGAGGCCAUUGUGGCUGAAAUUGAGGACUUCCAUGCAAGGCGUGAGGGCAUCCGCCAACAGAUCCGCUUCCAGCCUUCUCUACAGCCUGUGGCUAGUGAGCCUGGCUGUCCAGAUGUUGAAAUGCCCAGUCCCUGGGCUCCCAGUGGGGACUGCGCCAUGGAGUCUCCACCACCAGCCCCACCACCGUGCCCGGGCCCUGCACCUGACACCAUUGAUCUGACCCUGCAGCCACCCCCACCAGCCAGUGAGCCUGCCCCACCGAAGAAAGAGGGUGCCAUCUCAGACAACACUAAGGCUGCCCUUAAAGCUGCCCUGCUCAAGUCUUUGAGGAGCCGGCUCAGAGAUGGCCCCAGCGCACCCCUGGAGGCUCCUGAGCCUCGGAAGCCGGUGACAGCCCAGGAGCGCCAGCGGGAGCGGGAGGAGAAGCGGCGGCGGCGGCAAGAACGAGCCAAGGAGCGGGAGAAACGGCGGCAGGAGCGGGAGCGAAAGGAACGAGGGGCUGGGGCCUCUGGGGGCCCCUCCACUGACCCCUUGGCUGGACUAGUGCUCAGUGACAAUGACAGAAGCCUGUUGGAACGCUGGACUCGAAUGGCCCGGCCCCCAGCCCCAGCCCCCACCUCUGUGCCAGCCCCUACCCCAGCGCCAGCGCCAACCCCAGCCCAACCUACCAGUCCUCCUCCUGGCCCUGUAGCUCAGCCCACUGGCCCACAACCACAACCUGCGGGCUCUACCUCUGGCCCUGUACCCCAGCCUGCCUGCCCACCCCCUGGCCCUGCACCCCACCCCACCGGCCCUCCUAGGCCCAUCCCUGUCCCUGAGCCACCCCAGAUUGCCACCUCCACCAGCCUCCUGGCUCCCCAGUCACUUGUGCCACCCCCUGGGCUGCCUGGCUCCAGCACCCCAGGAGUUUUGCCUUACUUCCCACCUGGCCUGCCGCCUCCAGAUGCUGGGGGAGCCCCUCAGUCUUCCAUGUCAGAGUCACCUGAUGUCAACCUUGUGACCCAGCAGCUAUCUAAGUCACAGGUGGAAGACCCCCUGCCCCCCGUGUUCUCAGGCACACCAAAGGGCAGUGGGGCUGGCUACGGUGUUGGCUUUGACCUGGAGGAAUUCUUAAACCAGUCUUUUGACAUGGGCGUGGCUGAUGGGCCACAGGAUGGCCAGGCAGAUUCAGCCUCUCUCUCAGCCUCCCUGCUUGCUGACUGGCUCGAAGGCCAUGGCAUGAACCCUGCCGAUAUUGAGUCCCUGCAGCGUGAGAUCCAGAUGGACUCCCCAAUGCUGCUGGCUGACCUGCCUGACCUCCAGGACCCCUGAGGCCCACAGCCUGUGCCUUGCUGCCACGGUAGACCUAGUUCGAGGAUCCAUGGGAGCAUUCUCAAAGGCUUUAGCCCUGGACCCAGCAGGUGCAGACACCUCCCUCUGUGUCUUGCUGGCAGGCAGCUAGACUGCUCCUUUAUCCACCCUCCUGUAUCUGGAGCUAGAGAAGCCUGAGGAGAGUUUUUGAAGGAAACUCAUCAAAGCAGAGAGCACCUAGGGAGAAGAGAUGGCAACCGUGCACAAGACAGAACCUCCAGCCCUCUUGGAGCUACAGAAGAGAAAGAAAAGUAAAGUGAAAUGAUAAGUACUAUGAAAAAUGAAGCAGGAAGGUGGCAGGAAUGGGGCCAAAGUUUGGAACAGGGCAUGUCCAGAAGGCUGUAGUCCAGAAGGCCGUAGUGUGGAGAUGGUAAUGGCAAACUCUGGGUCCAAGGACAGACACAGACAUUUUGUGGGGAACGCUCUAUCUUAUUUGUCUAACACGGGGGAAGGUUUUAGGAGGGAUUUAGUGUCUCUCCCCGCCUUUUUAUAGUUUGGGACAAGAUCAGUUGAUGGAGCUCAGGAUGUGGCAGA